AGAUGUUUCCCAGUCCCACUGCAAAGCCGAUGCACGUUAACAGGUACUGAAAUUUGUUGUCCCAUUUGGGUCUCUCCUCCCUCUCCACAGAGUCGUUUGUUUUGCCCAUCCUUAGUUUGCAAAAAGGCUUAGCAAAAUUCCUGUAAUCUUGCAAGGAUGCAACUCUCCUUCUCCUAUCCAAAUCUCCAGAUCUCAGUCAAAAUAUUCAGCCUUUAGUUGUACAGUCUAAGUGAUGUCCAGUGCACUACCCUCGUCCUCUGUCUUGCUCUCUAGGGCUGUCCUUUCACGUCCUAUAAAUUACAGCAUUCAGCCUUACAGAUUUUAUAGUUUUUUAUGAAGAAAUUGGAGAGGGAGGGAAAACAUCAGGCGUAAUGAUUUUGUGUUUGAACCUCCCUGCUUUAUUUUUUUUCUUCAGAAGUGGGAGGGUGCUAAGCCUCAAAUAAUGGAUAACCUGGUGAUGCUGUUUCAGUCUGAAAGUGAUCUGUUUGGAUGCAGUCAAUAAAAUAGACUUAAUGAACGUUGUUUCUUGAUGGAGCACAUUUUGAUCCAAUUGUUAACACUUAUUUACACAGCAAAGUAUAUACAUUUAAAUUAAUCAGGGAGGGGAAAUUGACAAACUAAAGAAAUAUAAGUGAGAUAAAUUGUGUACACCUAUAUGAAUAAAUAACAAUGAUUUAAUCUCAAGGUACAAUCCAUAGUCGAAAUAUAACGCACUUGCUAUGUCUCUCAAAUGUAAAGACGUGUUUUUGGAGGGCCCUACAUCCACUAAUCAUCAUCAAUAAACUGUUGGUAGUUGUUGGUGUUUGGUUACUUUGGUCCUGCUCUUUGGAACAAACCUGAACUGAGCUCUGUCUGCAUUCAGAGACAAACUGAAUGUACACUUGUAUACAUAUACUAUAUGUUUACCAGCUCUAGUUCUGGCCCAUUUAACUCACAGGAGCCGGGGGGCGAGCUGGUUAUUUAUAAAGGCGCAUUAAGGUAAAUGAACCAUAGGCAUUUGGAGAAAUAUGAUCUCUCAAGCCUGUAUGUUAAAUAGGAACGUAGUGCUAGCAGGUAUUACACUUAGCUUAGCAUAAACACUUGAAACUGGAAAAAGCUAAUAAGCAUGAUAUGUUUUUGGUAAAUCCAAACACAUCCAUCACAUGCUGUGUAUGCUUGCUUGCUCCAUGUGUUAUGCUUUGUUAAAUCUGGUUCACCUGGCCAUUUCACCUCAGUGUCAAUGUGAUGUCUCCCUCUCUUGGCUAAUUGGUUGCUCUACAGGUUUAAUAUGUUGUUCAUAGAUACAACAACUCUUUUGAUGAUACUCUUAAACACACCACAGACUACAUGUAUAUACAGCUCCGGAAAGACCACUUAAAUCUCUACAUGUAUGGCAGCCAUUCCAGUGUCUGUUCAAUUCCAACACGGAGAAAUGAUGUCAGUAGUUUAUAGAAUACAAUAAAAAAUAAAUAAUAAUAAUUUAACUCAAAGACGUACCUGUAGUAAAACCAGAAAAACUGAUGAUGCUGCAGUGGUCUCUUUUUUCCGGAGCUGUAUAUAUACAGUACAUAUAUAGGAUGACACAUGAUGCAAUGUAUGUACACAUAAAUACGUACACAAAAAUAUGUUCAUAUGAAAUCACACUGUGAUUUCCUCAUAGCUGUAACACUGUAUGAGCAAAUCACUCUACUUUUUAUGUCGUUGACCAAUACCAAUAUAAAAUGUUCUCCCAUAUUCUGAGGACGUGAAGACUCAGUGGAAAUACUACAACUAGACCCCGGAAACUCUUUUAAUAACACCUGUCCGUGACCCAACUUCCAACUUGGAAGCUGUACGUUUUGGCAUUUUAUGAUUUGUGAGCCUUUUUUAAAUUAGCUUUAGCAUACUGUGCGGUUAAUGUGCCUGGCUUUGAUUGUAGGUCCACCCACAGGAGAAAUGCUGGAUUAACAGUUGUGCAACAUUUGAAGCCAGGUGUAGGUUGAAAUGUUUACUGCAAUGCAAACUCACCUGGCUUUGGAGUGAAACAAAAACCUUUUCUGCUCCCUGACUCUUGAUUGUAAGCCUCUGUGUGUUAUUCUUUAUACUGUGCAUAUCUAGAGUGACUUGAUAGAAAGUUCCUGUAGGUAUAAAUGAACGGAAGACUAACGCCUCUCUUUUUGCAGAAACAAAGACUUGGUUUUUAUGGAAACUCACACUUUUUGCCCCGGGAUUUCUAACUGAAUUUAAAAAAUGUUGCUUUGUCCAAACACAACCUAAAGUCAAGUGUCAGCCUAAAUGUUACUGAUCAGAUUCCAGCUGGCAAAUGUGCGUGUAAAGUUUUGGUUCAGAUGCUCUUUUAUUGCGGUGAUUUCAGAGUUAACAGCUUAACUAGUUGACAGUUGUUCCCUGGUUGUAUUCAUGCUGUCAGCAAAGCCUUCACCAUUCAGUGCAGGCUCAGCUGUUGGAAGGAGGGGUUUAAAGACAAUGGACCAUAUGAGACAGAAGGAAACAAAGACAUAUCUACAUAAUGCAUAUACAGGCAUAGCCAGACUAGGGACUCCUGCCAAAAGAAAGAUGACAGCGUUGAUCCAGGAAGGGUACGGUACUGAUGCCAGAGAGGGAAACUUGUCCUGUAAACCACAAAACACAACUUAACUAUGCUUGAUACAACAGGAAUUUGUCUACUGAGCGAAGAUAGCAUUAUUGGAAGAGGAGUCAACAGAUGGAAAGAUGGCUUUUAUGAGCUGGAGUGCUUACCGAGUUGACAUCCCAGACUAAGUAGGUGAGCUCUUUUUGGGCUUGUGUCACCAGGUAGAAAACUAAGAUAACCAAAACGAUCAGAGGACUGAUGAACCUCCAUGAAACCUGCCAAAAGAUGGAGGGCUUACGUCCGACCAUGAACUCCAAGUCCUCAUUGAACCUGCCGCACAAAAGGGUUUUGAAAUGAGUCAUGAAUCAAACAGGACUUCAAUGGAUCAACCAUACCCCUCGGGUGUUUUGCUAAAGUAUUUUGAAUAAGCAGUUACCUGUCUAUGCCGUAGAUGUACACUACAGCUAUCAUCUCAAACAAUCCAAUGCUCAGAAGUGGAACAGAUCCAGCAAAGUUGUCAAAGAGAGUUACCCAAUAAAUCCCUGAAUUCUGCGCAAACAGGAGACAGAUGAUGAAGCCUACAGCACACGUGAUACCUGAAACACACGUCCAAAAUAUCAAGAGUUAAAACACGAAUCAGACAAACUAAACUUAGUUUAACUAAAAAACAAAUUACCAGUUACUGCUUCUUGGGGCCAUUUUUUAGGUAAAAUAUUCAGGUCUUUCAGUGGGACCACCACGCCCUCGAUAUUUCCAAAUAGGGUCGAGAUUCCCAAGCAAAGAAGCAUGACGAAAAAGAGGACGGACCAAACCGGAGAACCGGGCAUCUGGGUGAUGGCUUCUGUGAACACGAUGAAAGCCAGACCUGUUCCCUCCACUCCCUGCACCAACACAACCGAUGAUGGUGUAGGUGACUGUCGCAGCAUACACUGAGGGUUGUAGCUGGAGAAGGAGAUGAGGCCGCCCCAAGCUAAGCUAAAGGCAUAAAAGACCUGGGCACCCGCAUCCAGCCACGUUGUAGGAUUCAUCAACUCGUUCACCUGCAAUAUUCAGUAUGGUGUCCUCUGUUAACUUACCAAUACCAGUCAGAUAAGGGUGGAUGGAGCUCCACACUCCUACACUGCCCUUCCUGAGACGCUGGCCGAUACCAAACUCCAGCAGCAGGAGAGGCAUUCCUUCCAGCACCAGCAGGAUCAGUAUGGUGUCCUCUGUUGGAUCAGCUGACCUUACACCACCUGGUCUGUCAGUGCGAGGGCUCCCUCUCUUGGCCAAGUUGCUGCUCUACACAUUUUGCCUACCUUUUCUAAAACUAAUAGCUAAUGCUUUGAAAGACCAGCCUUUUCUCUGCUGUUAAAUAUUCCCACUAACCAUUCCACAAAUAAAAAUACUCUCCUAGUAGUCUUGAAUACAAUCAUAUGAGCAGUACGUGGGUACAAAGCAUGCUCACAAAUAAGUGCUUUACUGAUCAAUAAAACACCAUGCAUUGUGCUGUAUUCUGAAACGUCUGACUUUGAAACAGUGUUUUAAUUCUUUGAUACAAUUUUUUUCUUGCAGCAAACAAACACAAAUCUACAUAAUGCAUACACAGGCACUGCCAGACUGGGAACUCCUGCCAACAGGAAGAUGAUCACGUAUAUCCAAGAAGGGUAGGGUACUGACGCCAGAGCCGGGAAAUUCUCCUGUAAAACACAAAACGAUAUGAGUUUGAUAUCGUGGGAUAUUCAAAUUAUGGAUGUAAGAUUGACCAAAGGCAGUUUGCUUAUUAAAUACUGUAUCAUAGAGAAACAACAUUUACUUU